CAGUGGUUGGGUAGCCAAACUCCUUCAAAGCCUAAUUGGAAAAUCCAGUAAAACUGAGCUAAGUUUCUUUCAAGAAUUGGACCUGUUGGUCUUCCCAGCACAUAUCUUUUAAAAAACCUAUAGUAAUCUUAGCUUAAUCUCAUCUAUGAGCUUAUUGGUCUGCGGGAAGAAAAAAAAUUUAAAGAUCUUUUUCCUCCCCCAACAUUUAGGCUGAGUUGGGUAUGUGUUGAUAUGGAUCUAUCCAAAUAGGCUGUCCAUCCCAUAAAUCCAACAAAAAAAACUAGUUGAUUUCUGCUAAAUUUUUCAAACAGAUUCUUAUUUUUUAAAAAAGAAAAAAAAUAGAACCCCCUAGCUUAAUUCAUAUGUCGAUUUAGCAAGUACCGGAGCUCAAAAAGGACAUGGUAAUUAAUGUAUCUGUAAAGUACGUACUAUUGUCAGUCAUUGACAGUUAUAUUUUUUAUAUUAAAAUCACUAAGUUAGAGAGGGGAAUAAAAAUCUUGACUAAAUUAUGGACAUCUAUCGGGCUACGGUUGAGUCCGAUGCUUACCAAGGCCGAAGACCAGCAUCUUCGAUGAGAGCACGACCCGAGGCCAUUCGUGGAGCAUUAGAUAAAUUUGUUAAUUUAAAGUGGAGCUCUUGCAAACUGGUGCGGCCGAUGAUA
rnacentral:lncRNA from 1 species